GAUGAACGCUGGCGGCGUGCCUAACACAUGCAAGUUGAGCGUGAUUUAUGAAAGUGGAGACUUCGGUCAAAGCGAUCAUGAUGAAAGCGGCGGACGGGUGAGUAACGCGUGGGCAACCUGCCCCAUACACGAGGAUAGCCACUGGAAACGGUGAUUAAUACUCGAUAAGACCACACUUCCACAUGGGGAGAGCGGCCAAAGAUUUAUCGGUAUGGGAUGGGCCCGCGUCUGAUUAGCUAGUUGGUGAGGUAACGGCUCACCAAGGCGACGAUCAGUAACCGACCUGAGAGGGCGGACGGUCACACUGGAACUGAGACACGGUCCAGACUCCUACGGGAGGCAG
rnacentral:rRNA from 1 species